rnacentral:rRNA from 1 species
CCUACGGGUGGCUGCAGUGGGGAAUAUUGCACAAUGGGCGCAACCCUGAUGCAGCGACGCCGCGUGAGCGAUGAAGUAUUUCGGUAUGUAAAGCUCUAUUAGCAGGGAAGAAAAUGACGGUACCUGACUAAGAAUCCCCGUCUAACUACGUUCCAGCAGCCGCGGUAAUACGUAGGGGGCAAGCGUUAUCCGGAUUUACUGGGGGUAAAGGGAGCGUAGACGGCUGUGCAAGCCAGAUGUGAAAGCACGGGGUUCAACCCCGAGACUGCAUUUGGGACUGUGUGACUGGAGUGUCGGAGAGGUAGGCGGAAUUCCUAGUGUAGCGGUGAAAUGCGUAGAUAUUAGAAGGAACACCAGUGGCGAAGGCGGCCUGCUGGACGAUGACUGACGUUGAGGCACGAAAGCGUGGGGAGCAAACAGGAUUAGAUACCCGAGUAGUC